rnacentral:rRNA from 1 species
UACGAAGGGGGCUAGCGUUGUUCGGAAUUACUGGGCGUAAAGCGUGCGCAGGCGGUUUUGUAAGCCAGAUGUGAAAUCCCCGGGCUUAACCUGGGAAUGGCAUUUGGGACUGCAAGGCUUGAGUGCGGCAGAGGAGACUGGAAUUCCUGGUGUAGCAGUGAAAUGCGUAGAUAUCAGGAGGAAUACCGAUGGCGAAGGCAGGUCUCUGGGCUGACGCUGACGCUCAUGCACGAAAGCGUGGGGAGCAAACAGG